rnacentral:Y_RNA from 1 species
GGUUGGUCCGAGUACAGUGGUGUUUGCAAAUAAUUGAUCACAGCCAGGUAAAGAUUCCUUUGUUCCUUUUCCACUCCCACUGCUUCACUUGACUAUACUUUA